AUUAGGUUAGUCUGAAACUCAAAACACAUAAUCUCAUGUCCUGACUGUGCCACCAGCUCUCUAUAUGAUGUUGCUCAUCUCUCAAUGGGCCUCAGUUUCCCCAGCCGUCAGUAAGUACGGAUUCCUUCUUGUUCUGAAAACCUGUACCUGUCAAAUGGAUGCCGUCAGUAGGGUGGCAAGAUUAUAGAUGCCUUUGCCAUUUGCUUUCUAUUGUCCACACUUCUUAAAAAUGUUCCAGUUAUCUUUAAAGUACAGUGUAAUUGUAAUUUGCCCACAACUUUUAUUGUUAUGAAGGAAAGAAGGAAGAGAACAAAGGAGGGAAGAAAGAAGAAUGUUUUAUUUGUUGGGAAGGCAGCCACUGAAAAAUCAUUUCUCCUCCUCCCCAGCAGGAAGCAAACCCCAUACUCCAGAGUAGUGUAAAUAUUUGCAUUCACUUAAAGUGAAAAGACAAUCUGCAUACCUGGAGGAGAUAUUUGCAAGAUUUACAUCUGGUAAAGGUUUAUUGCCAAGAACGUACAAAGAGGCCUUACAAAUCAACGAGAA
rnacentral:lncRNA from 1 species